UGGGGAAUUUUGGACAAUGGGGGCAACCCUGAUCCAGCCAUCCCGCGUGUGCGAUGAAGGCCUUCGGGUUGUAAAGCACUUUUGGCAGGGAAGAAACAGCCUGGGCUAAUAUCCCGGGCGACUGACGGUACCUGCAGAAUAAGCACCGGCUAACUACGUGCCAGCAGCCGCGGUAAUACGUAGGGUGCAAGCGUUAAUCGGAAUUACUGGGCGUAAAGCGUGCGCAGGCGGUUCGGAAAGAAAGGUGUGAAAUCCCAGGGCUUAACCUUGGAACUGCACUUUUAACUACCGGGCUAGAGUACGUCAGAGGGGGGUAGAACUCCACGUGUAGCAGUGAAAUGCGUAGAGAUGUGGAGGAAUACCGAUGGCGAAGGCAGCCCCCUGGGAUGAUACUGACGCUCAUGCACGAAAGCGUGGGGAUCAAACA
rnacentral:rRNA from 1 species